CCUUAGAGCCUGGGCCGCACGCGCGCUACACUGACGGAGCCAGCGAGUACUUCCUUGUCCGAAAGGUCCGGGUAAUCUUGUUAAACUCCGUCGUGCUGGGGAUAGAGCAUUGCAAUUAUUGCUCUUCAACGAGGAAUCCCUAGUAAGCGCAAGUCAUCAGCUUGCGUUGAUUACGUCCCUGCCCUUUGUACACACCGCCCGUCGCUACUACCGAUUGAAUGGCUCAGUGAGGCGUCCGGACUGGCCCAGAGAGGUGGGCAACUACCACUCAGGGCCGGAAAGCUCUCCAAACUCGGUCAUUUAGAGGAAGUAAAAGUCGUAACAAGGUCUCCGUUGGUGAACCAGCGGAGGGAUCAUUACCGAGUUUACAACUCCCAAACCCCUGUGAACAUACCUAUACGUUGCCUCGGCGGAUCAGCCCGCGCCCCGUAAAACGGGACGGCCCGCCGAGGACCCCUAAACUCUGUUUUUAGUGGAACUUCUGAGUAAAACAAACAAAUAAAUCAAAACUUUCAACAACGGAUCUCUUGGUUCUGGCAUCGAUGAAGAACGCAGCAAAAUGCGAUAAGUAAUGUGAAUUGCAGAAUUCAGUGAAUCAUCGAAUCUUUGACGCACAUUGCGCCCGCCAGUAUUCUGGCGGGCAUGCCUGUUCGAGCGUCAUUUCAACCCUCAAGCUCAGCUUGGUGUUGGGACUCGCGGUAACCCGCGUUCCCCAAAUCGAUUGGCGGUCACGUCGAGCUUCCAUAGCGUAGUAAUCAUACACCUCGUUACUGGUAAUCGUCGCGGCCACGCCGUAAAACCCCAACUUCUGAAUGUUGACCUCGGAUCAGGUAGGAAUACCCGCUGAACUUAGCAUAUCAAUUAGCGGAGGAAAAAAACCACAGGGAUUGCCCUAAUAACGGCGAGUGGAACGGCAACAGCUCAAAUUUGAAAUU
rnacentral:rRNA from 1 species